UUUAAGGACAUGUGUAUAUAGUAGGGAAAAAGAUAGAUAACAAAAAAGAAGAGCAUUAUCUUCCAUCUUUAAAAAAAUUCUUCCAUCCAAGCUGGGCAGUGACUGGUCAGGUAUGUUAAGCUAUCAAGGAGUUAGCAUUCAUCCUCCAGUGGUUCUCAGCUUUAGCAUGAAGCUCACAGAUACAAGUUUGUAGUGUUGUGUGUCCUGGAAUAACCAAUGGAGAACGAUCAGAUAUAUAAGAAAGGCUUGCUUGACACAAAUUGUUUACAAGAUUCAAAAAGAAUCACUUGCUUAGCUAGUUGUAGACUAGCUUUUUUUUUUACACAGGUAUUUAACUAGAAGUUGCCGCAACACUAGCUUAGCUGAGUAACUGCAGAACAACCAAGGGAACCUUUGUCGUAUGGGAUGACAAGGAUUAAACAGUAGAGCAGGCCGGUGAGAUCUAUUCAUCCAUGGUAGCUGGGCUGGAUCUACAUGCCUAAAUUGCUCUGUCUGGAAUUUCAUGCAACUGCAAACUGACUCCCAUCUAUACUGGGACAGGGGAACAGAGCGAAGCAAAAUUUACAAGGCAAAUGAGCUCCCAUUUCCAUCUAUAUUUUGCAAACGGAGAUCGAAUCCGGGCUCCAAGUGUGCACACACCACGCACUCACCAACCAGACUAUCGGGUGGUUCCUAAUUUACACUUUCACAGUAUAUUAAUCGUUUCUCGAGCUGUAUAUAUAACCUUUUCAAAAAGAUGAAGUUCGGAACCACCAUGAACAACAAAAAUAGCACAGUGCACUUGAUGCCAGGCAACUAAGAUGAAGGAUGUCACGCAGAAAUCAGCAGGGGAGACCCUGUCACAUCCCUAGCUUCUGGUUUGCUCUGAGCUAGCUAGUCAUGUGUUGCAUCAUAUUUAAAUUUUGCCUAAAAUUGAAAUGGGGAUGUUCAAACCCUAGCAUUAAAUCAACUCAACUAGGGUGAAUUAAAAUCUUUUCAAUAAACCCAAAAGGUUCCUAAGAAAAGUUCAUGAUUUCUGGUUAAGGUGGAAACCUCUGCCAAAAAUGAUGAAUAUAUUCUUAGGUCAUUUUUGGAUUUUUGAAUUAAAUCAUAUUGUAUUUGACUUUGGGCAUUUAAAUACUAUAAAUAAUUUAAAUGUUCAAAUAAAUGUUGGAAAUUGUUAAGGGUCACUGAAAUAAUUCAGAAAGCACCCAUAAUUGUUUCCAGGAUUAUAUUAAAUGAUUUGGUAUUUUAAAUCAAAUCAAAAACAAAAUAACAGAAAUAGAAAAGAAAUAAAAGAGAGAGAGAGAAGGAAGUUACCUGGCGCCCACUUACCUGGCCCAGCACGGCCCAGCCCAUCUCCACUCCCCCCCCCCUGUCGUCUUCCUCUGCCAGUAGGCAGAGGCGAGGCGUGGCGCGCGCCCGAGAGGCCUCGGCCACCUCCUGCUUCCUCCUCGACGCCCCGGAGACGCCACGCACCUCCCUGCCUCUCUCCCUCACUCUCCCGCGUCCUCAUCCUCUCCCCUGGACCUCUCUCUCACUCGCCCGAACGGAGCCGCCGCCACCGACGAGCUCCCUCGCGGCCACCGCCACCCCCUAGCCUCGCCGAUGCGCUCAAAGGCUCCGCCUCGACCCCCUCUUUCUCUCCACCGAGCCACAAGGUCCCGGACACGCUGCAACGCCGCCACCAUCGCCGUUUCCAUCGCCAGCCGCCGAGGAUCUUCACCGUCGAUUCGCCGCCGUCUCCGCUUCCCCGAGCUCGUCAUCUACCCCAUCCGAACCACCGUGAGCUCCUGCACGUUUUGCCCCUAACCCCGUGGCUUGCCGCUCGCCGUAGCCACCAUUUCAUAGCUGGCCGUAGCACGCCGCCGCCUGAGCUCGUCGCCGGCGUAGCUCCGGUGACCAUUUGGUCACCCUGGCAUGCCUAACUCGCUCCCCGCCCCGCGUAGCGCCCCGCUAGCCUCUCACCUCGCUCGUUUGCGCACCGUAGCACUAACUCGCCCCAACCCCGAGCUCCGGCCGCCGCCUCGGGCUCCACUCCGGCAAACCCCGGCCACCCCCGCACCUCCCGUUGGUCCCCCUAGAUGCGCACGGGCACGGGCUACCUCCUGGUGCCCUUGGCGCGUCGAUCCGAUGCCCCUAGCGCAAGUUCGACGUCCCCCGCCGUGCUCUGUGGUCGUCGCCGGCUAAACUCCGGCGAGAGCUGACGUGGCCGGUCAUUAGGGCCUAACCACCCCGCUAACCCAGGCCUAGAGCCACUGACAUGUGGGCCCUAGUGCCCCUAAUCUUUAAUUAAACUAAACUAACCCCCCUGUCUAACCUGUGUCACUGACGUGUGGACCCCACACAUCAGGUUUGACCUGAACCUGGCCGUUGACUCGCUGACGUCAUGCUGGCUUCAGGCUGACACAGUUAAAUCAUUUUCUGGAUUUAUUAAUAUUCAGGAAAUUCCAGAAAAUGCCUAAAACUUCUAAAAAUCAUAGAAAUUCAACCGUAACUCCAAAUUAAAUAAUUUAUAUAUGAAAAAUUAUCAGAAAAAUUCAAGGAAUCCAUCUGUACCAUUUUCAUGCAUGUUAGAACAACUUAUAGCUGCUGUUUAGCACAAAUCAAUUAAAUGGCAUUUGAAUAAUCACAUAUGGAGUUUGAAUUUGAAUCUUGUAUUCAAACCAACUUCAUUUAAUCUGUUGCUAGUUGCAUUAGCUCAAAACACAUUCAUAUUGCCAUGUCAUGAGCAUGCAUCAUAUUGUGCAUUGCAUUGAUUGUAUUUCUUCUUGUUGCCGGUAUCUGUUCCCUCUCGAUAGACGUGAUACCGACGAUGUGAUUGUUGACACUGAUGAAGACUCAAUGUUAUCUUCAGAAGUGCCAGGCAAGAAAAAACCACUUGUUCAUUCCGAUACAAUCCCACUCUCUCACUCCUGCUCUCUUUUACUGCAUUAGGACAACAACGAUUUAUCUGUUACUUGCUGCGGUAGCUGAACCCCUUUAUCCUUUGCAUGACCUGUCAUUGCCACAGUAAGUAGAUGAAACCCACUAGCAUGAGUAGGAGUUGUUUGAGCCCUGUUGUGCCUACUCAUUCAUGCUUGUUUGUCAUGCCUGCUACUGCUUAGAGUCGAGUCAGGUCUGAUUCAUCCGGGAUGAAUCAGAGGUGUGUGAACAUGCCCUACGGUGUGUGAGCUAAGCGUGUGAACACGAUUUGGUAAAGGUAGCGGUGAGAGGCCAUGUAGGAGUACAUGGUGGGUUGUCUCAUUGCAGCCGUCCUCAGGAACUGAGUUCUGUGUUUGUGAUCCAUGAUUCAGCUACUACCACGCAUUGGGCCCGAAACCAAUGGACCCUCUCGGCUUCUUGAUCACCCUUGUCCUCUGUCCAGGAGUUGCAAGUAGUUUCUGGUGUUUGUAGUAUGCUGGAGGCCGUGGGCAGCGCUGACCGGAGGGGUGGGCUGUGAUGCGGUAGGCACGUGGCCGGGUAUACCGGGCGCCCGUUUGGUGUCACGGAACCCUGUUCACAUCGUUUGGGGCUGUGAGCGAAACUCCGGCCGGAUCUCCUCAUGGAUGGAACCCGAAUAGGCGAUAAACCUGGACUAGAGACUCGAGUGUUUAGGUAGGCCGUGGCCGACACCCACGUUGGGCUUUCGCUUGAAGGUUGCCGAGUACAUGUCGUGUAAACGGCGGUAAGUGGUGAGAGCGUGUGUGAAGAAGUACACCCCUGCAGGGUUAUCAUCAUCUAUUCGAAUAGCCGUGUCCGCGGAAAAGGGCUUCUGGAUUGCUUAUAUCAGUUCAUAGACAAGUGAAAGUGGAUACUCUAAAAUACGCAAGAUAAGCGUGAGUGCUAUGGAUGGCGCUCUCGUAGGGAGACGGGAGCGGAUCCAUAGUGGUGUAUUGAUAUGGGGAAUAUGUGGACUCGUGUGCGCCACCUCAAAAGAGUUACAUUGCAGUCGUAGUUCAGGAUAGCCACCGAGUCAAAGCUGGCUUGCUGCAGUUAAACCCCACCAUCCCCUUUGUUGAUAAUGAUGCAUAUGUAGUUAGUUCUGAUGUAAGUCUUGCUGGGUACAUUUGUACUCACGUUUGCCUAUUUUAUGUUUUUGCAGAGAGACUUCGGUCUCACUAGUAGUUUCGCGUGGACUUCGACGUUUAGCUUGUUACCUCAGCUACGAUCUUGUGCCCCGGCAGGAUUUGGUAGAUAGUCAGGCUUCUCAGCCUUUUUCAGUUAUAGAUGUCUGUACCCAGACAUGAUAGCUUCCGCUUGUGCUUUGAUUUGUAUGCUCUGAAUGUUGGGUCAUGAGACCCCUGUUUGUAAUAUCUCACUCCUCGGAGCCUAUUGAAUAAAUACUUGAGUCGUAGAGUCAUGUUGUGAUGCCAUGUUGUGUUUGCACAUAUCGAGCAUAUUGUGUGUAUGUUAUUAAAAUGCUUGGUAUGUGUGGGAUCUGACUAUCUAGUUGUUUAUCCUUAGUAGCCUCUCUUACUGGGAAAUGUCUCCUAGUAUUUCCACCGAGCCAUGGUAGCUUGCUACUGCUCCGGAACACUUAGGCUGGCCGGCAUGUGUCCUUCUUCGUUCCUGUGUCUGUCCCUUCGGGGAAAUGUCACGCGAUGAAUACCGGAGUCCUGUUAGCCCGCUACAGCCCGGUUCACCGGAGUCCUGCUAGCCCAGUGCUACAGCCUGGAUUCACUCGCUGAUGACCGACACGUUCGAUGCUGGGUCAUGGAUGCCUGUCCCUGUAAGUCUGUGCCACUUUGGGUUUACGACUAGCCAUGUCAGCCCGGGCUUCUUAUCAUAUGGAUGCUAGCGACACUGUCAUAUACGUGUGCCAAAAGGCGCAAACGGUCCCGGGCAAAGGUAAGGCGACACCCAUAGAAUACCGUGCGUGAGGCCGCAAAGUGAUACGAGGUGUUACAUGCUAGAUCGAUGUGGCAUUGAGUCGGGGUCCUGACAGCGUUGGUAUCAGAGCUUGACUGCCUGUAGAAUUACCAAGCCAAACUGGUCGAAGUUGAGUCUAGAAAUUCUUAGUUAUAUAAGGGAAUUGAUUGUGGGAUGGAACGUAAGGCUCUUUUUACUCCUUAUACCUCAUGGCCUUCUGAUCUGAGUCAUCAUCUUCUCUUCUACGGGGAUUAAGAACUAGGCUAUCUCUUCUUUCUAUUAGGAUCACGUGUUACUAAUCAGUGGACUUAUAAGAUUGUUGGAUUUAAGUCUCAGUUCAGUUCCUACUACUUCCGUAUGUUAAUUGUUGAUCUCGAAACCUUGAUAUUGUGCUUCUGAGUGGUUAUGCCACCAUUUUUGUGAAUGUCUCAAAUCUUUUCUGAGCAUUUACAGCCGUUAUGCUGUCCGAGUCAUCCCAGGUUUCUAAGUAGUCUGAUGCAAUUGCAAAUCCUUUCUUCCCGUUUCAAUGUUCCCAUGGGCCAGAUUAACCACACUAAUCAGUGAGUUGAGGUACUCCGUUACCUUGACAUAUAUGUUGGAGAUAUUAUUAUGACCCUAGGUGUCUUAGGGGAUCAUCUAGUAAUUUAGCCAUGAUUUGUGUUCCCAGUGUGAUGAUUCUGGCCAUCAUUCUCGAAAGCAUCCCGUGAUGCUACUUAGUAAUAGGUAUUCUGUUCCUGGGUUCUUGAACCCAAGAUUCACUCUACCUACUUCAUGUUGAUAGUAAUUGCUAGUGCCUUUAGGAUAUUAGUAACCUUUGCGAUAGUCCUUGAAGUCCGUGGUAUCUUCUUCUUCCAAAUACCAUGAACUACUUAUGGCAGAAGUUCCUCGUUGAACUGAAAUAUCACAACAGGAUUAUUCUUGAUGAGUUCUCCAUUAUAUAUUGUGGCUCUGCCAGUUCUACCUUUCUACAUGGGUUAUCCGGAAGAAAUAUGUUGAACUUCGUUCGACAUGCUAAUCCAUGCAUCCACAACUCAGAAAAUCAUAUGUUCUUUUGAGUUGUCCCAUCUUAGUUGUUUCCGACCCUCGCCUAUCAAUUGAUAGUCAAGAGUAUGCGUGCAUUCGUUCGUCGAUGCCUAUUACCCUUGUGGUCCGCCAAGCCAUUCUAUUUCAGAAUGAAUAGGAGAAACAAACUUCAGAAUCUCAUCCAUAUCUAGGAUGGGUCAAAGCAAUUGUAUUCCGCAGAUCAAAAUGCCAAUCCAGCUUCUGGUCUGUUCUACCUUGAAGUAUUACCAUCUUUAUAUCAGGAAUAUCAUGGGAAUUGCACACCAUCUUAUGAAUUCUUGACGCAGUAAUACUUCUGAUCAUCAUUGAUAAUUUCUCGGUUUCUGUGUUAUUGUAACCGGAAUGCCGACAAAUGAAUCAUGGCGUGUGAAAUCAAUACAGCUAGCAACUCCAUUGCUUGGUAGUUAAAUGGACGAUAACCUCAUUCUUAGCGUGUUGAUUAUUGAAUCGUCACCCUAAGGUUGAUUGUGCUACCUAGUCCUUAUUUCUGGUGCACUCUCCGAUCAGUGAGUUAGGAUAGUGCCAAUCAUUGCUUAUUUGAUCAUAUCGUCUUGCCCUGAAAAGUAAGAUUGUUCUCGAGCUUAGUAACAUACCGGUGGUUCAUGAUAUUCCAAAUUUCUUCUCGGAAGUAUCACCAGGUUGUCGCCUGACCGCUAUGUUGAUCUCGUGAUCAAGUUGGGUUCUUGUGAACCACCUUCUCUCCAAAAAUCGGUGUUAGAUAUCCCUGAGCUAGUUGGUUAAGCUAGACAACAACUUGGAGAGUUGGAAGAUAAAAGCUUGCCUGACUUAGUUCGUUCCAAAGGGAUAUUCUUGUGUAGGGUGUGCUGAAGAAAGAUGAUAUCUUCAUCGAUUGGUCCUUGUGAUCAGUUGCUGGACCUAUUGUCUUAUCAAUCUUUUGAUUUGAGUGUGGGCUAUCGUCAAAUCAAAUCAGUACCAACGAUGCUCGUAAUGUUGUCUUAUUCGUGGUUGAUCCCUCGAGCAUACACCAUUACAUCUUUGGUCUGACCAAUGCUAUCACCGUGUUCACUUAACUAUGGAAUUCCUUUUAAAAGGAAACCUAGAUGAAUUGUUGUUGAGCCCAUUGGCAACAUCCUUAUCUCCUCCAUGAUGUUGUUGAACAUUAAGCUAGUGUUGGAAACUUUUGAAAGCAUUUUCUUCAUGCUAGCUCAUGAAGUAUUUGUUUGAUGAAAGGAGUGACUUCCUCUUAUACAUGUGCAUUUGGUGAAAGUUGCCGCCGUGAAUUUGAGAAAGAUUGUUUUGUUUCCUUUGGAAUCAUCCCAAAUCAGUCAUGCACACGUGCGAAGUAUUCUGUAGUCUGGAGACUUGCAACCUUCAUUCUAUAUGUGUCCCUAGCACACUAAGCCACUGAUUGACUUGUUCAAGGAAAAGAAGUCUAUGCUUGGGAUCUAAUCCAUGGACAUGCGUAAAGACUUCGAUAUCCUCGAUGAUGGUUCUCCACCUGAACUCGGUAGUGUUUAAUUAUAAGACUGCUACGUGGCCAUGCUUGUCCGGGACAACGUGUUCGCAUGUUUGUAGUAGAACCAACUCAUGUUUUGGAGCUUACUAUCGUAGCUCACUCCCCGAGAAUCCCGCAACAUUAUCUCGUCGAUUUGUGUUGCAAACUUUCAUUUUUCUUUCUAGACUUGAUGAAUCUGGGAUAUCCUGACACCAACCAGAUCUGAAUCUCAGGCAGAUGUGAUGGUUGGAACAUUUCCCAAGAAUUAUAAUAUUGGUCUCUCAAUAACCGGCAAGGUGGAUGUCGUGGCCAACACACCCAUCCGGUAGACCUAUUAUUAUAGUAUCUUGUUUGAGGAAGUUGGCCACCUCCCCAUAGGGAUUUCGUAGGAUUACUCCCUAGUUGCCCCUAUGGAUUUCUGUGUUCCGAAGUCCGACCUUUUUACUUGAUGUUCUAGAUAUCAAACCACAUCUAUGGGUGGAUUACGCUAGCACAUCAAGGAGAACAUUAGAAGCGGAGUGCUAAAUGUCUCUCGGUCGAUCAUCCAGAUUUUAUUUGCUUGGCCUCGCUAAGGUGAAAUCUGAGAAAGUGUUAUCCUCCUUCGCAUCUGCAUCGUCCAUCGCUAUUCAUCAUGGUAGUAUGUUGUGUUGUCAGCACCCUUGACACGGAUGUUGAUAAAAUCUUGAUGAUUAUGGAAAUGCUCAAGUUCUUGAGAGCACGCACAAGCACUACGUGUUAUCAUCGGCACUAACUGGGAUUCCUCUCAGUUUCCUCGGCAAUGCUAUGACCUUUUUUAAACAGUGAAUUCACUCUCUAUUGUUGGGUUCUUCCCCAGUUACCAGAAUCAUUCCCAGCAUUUGCAUUCUGUUCCCAGCUUGCACCGCCAUUGUGCCAUUCUACCAUGGGUCUCUUCCAUUUCCGAUGAUAAGCAAAUUCAUCCAUUACGUUGUCUUCAACAAGGUAGUCCACAUCAUCCAAGUCCGAGUAUGCCAUUCUACCGACCCCCUCCAAACGAUCGCUCGAGAAUUGUCUUAGGCUGGUUUAAAGAGUUUCAAUGAUCUUUGAAUCAAAGGUAAUUCUUUUUGCCACUUAAGGGGAUAUUUCUACGAGUCACCUUCCCUAAGGUGCAUCAUUAUGGUAUCAUGGCAACUCAACUCCUCGCUACGUGACAAUCGUUUACCACAUUCUUGAGUCUGGAAUUGUUGUCUACCUAGUGAACCUUUGUCAUCUGCUUCACUCCAAUUCCUAUGGAUGUGUACUUCGUCUCUCAGCUCGAGAGAUGUUGUUAUGUCUCAUUCUGUGGGUUAAUCCUGAGUUGUUCGACCUUCGAGAAGAACAAUUCUUUUAGGGUCUUUCCUUUCCUCUCGUUGUCAUGAUAGUUGGAGUUCUCAAGGCAAGACUUCAAGACAAUGAUGGUGAAUGAAUCAACGUUCAAUUGAAGUGCACCCUGGAUCGUGAAGAUUAUACUAGUUUGCGUUACCCCUUCACCUUACCCUACGCUUGAAUCUCGAGACGAGAUUCUUGUUUAGUGGGGGUGAGUUGUCACAUCCCUAGCUUCUGGUUUGCUCUGAGCUAGCUAGUCAUGUGUUGCAUCAUGUUUAAAUUUUGCCUAAAAUUGAAAUGGGGAUGUUCAAACCCUAGCAUUAAAUCAACUCAACUAGGGUGAAUUAAAAUCUUUUCAAUAAACCCAAAAGGUUCCUAAGAAAAGUUCAUGAUUUCUGGUUAAGGUGGAAACCUCUGCCAAAAAUGAUGAAUAUAUUUUUAGGUCAUUUUUGGAUUUUUGAAUUAAAUCAUAUUGUAUUUGACUUUGGGCAUUUAAAUACUAUAAAUAAUUUAAAUGUUCAAAUAAAUGUUGGAAAUUGUUAAGGGUCACUGAAAUAAUUCAGAAAGCACCCAUAAUUGUUUCCAGGAUUUUAUUAAAUGAUUUGGUAUUUUAAAUCAAAUCAAAAACAAAAUAAUAGAAAUAGAAAAGAAAUAAAAGAGAGAGAGAAGGAAGUUACCUGGCGCCCACUUACCUGGCCCAGCACGGCCCAGCCCAUCUCCACUCCCCCCCCCCUGUCGUCUUCCUCUGCCAGUAGGCAGAGGCGAGGCGUGGCGCGCGCCCGAGAGGCCUCGGCCACCUCCUGCUUCCUCCUCGACGCCCCGGAGACGCCACGCACCUCCCUGCCUCUCUCCCUCACUCUCCCGCGUCCUCAUCCUCUCCCCUGGACCUCUCUCUCACUCGCCCGAACGGAGCCGCCGCCACCGACGAGCUCCCUCGCGGCCACCGCCACCCCCUAGCCUCGCCGAUGCGCUCAAAGGCUCCGCCUCGACCCCCUCUUUCUCUCCACCGAGCCACAAGGUCCCGGACACGCUGCAACGCCGCCACCAUCGCCGUUUCCAUCGCCAGCCGCCGAGGAUCUUCACCGUCGAUUCGCCGCCGUCUCCGCUUCCCCGAGCUCGUCAUCUACCCCAUCCGAACCACCGUGAGCUCCUGCACGUUUUGCCCCUAACCCCGUGGCUUGCCGCUCGCCGUAGCCGCCAUUUCAUAGCUGGCCGUAGCACGCCGCCGCCUGAGCUCGUCGCCGGCGUAGCUCCGGUGACCAUUUGGUCACCCUGGCAUGCCUAACUCGCUCCCCGCCCCGCGUAGCGCCCCGCUAGCCUCUCACCUCGCUCGUUUGCGCACCGUAGCACUAACUCGCCCCAACCCCGAGCUCCGGCCGCCGCCUCGGGCUCCACUCCGGCGAACCCCGGCCACCCCCGCACCUCCCGUUGGUCCCCCUAGAUGCGCACGGGCACGGGCUACCUCCUGGUGCCCUUGGCGCGUCGAUCCGAUGCCCCUAGCGCAAGUCCGGCGUCCCCCGCCGUGCUCUGUGGUCGUCGCCGGCUAAACUCCGGCGAGAGCUGACGUGGCCGGUCAUUAGGGCCUAACCACCCCGCUAACCCAGGCCUAGAGCCACUGACAUGUGGGCCCUAGUGCCCCUAAUCUUUAAUUAAACUAAACUAACCCCCCUGUCUAACCUGUGUCACUGACGUGUGGACCCCACACGUCAGGUUUGACCUGGACCUGGCCGUUGACUCGCUGACGUCAUGCUGGCUUCAGGCUGACGCAGUUAAAUCAUUUUCUGGAUUUAUUAAUAUUCAGGAAAUUCCAGAAAAUGCCUAAAACUUCUAAAAAUCAUAGAAAUUCAACCGUAACUCCAAAUUAAAUAAUUUAUAUAUGAAAAAUUAUCAGAAAAAUUCAAGGAAUCCAUCUGUACCAUUUUCAUGCAUGUUAGAACAACUUAUAGCUGCUGUUUAGCACAAAUCAAUUAAAUGGCAUUUGAAUAAUCACAUAUGGAGUUUGAAUUUGAAUCUUGUAUUCAAACCAACUUCAUUUAAUCUGUUGCUAGUUGCAUUAGCUCAAAACACAUUCAUAUUGCCAUGUCAUGAGCAUGCAUCAUAUUGUGCAUUGCAUUGAUUGUAUUUCUUCUUGUUGCCGGUAUCUGUUCCCUCUCGAUAGACGUGAUACCGACGAUGUGAUUGUUGACACUGAUGAAGACUCAAUGUUAUCUUCAGAAGUGCCAGGCAAGCAAAACCCCCUUGUUCAUUCCGAUACAAUCCCACUCUCUCGCUCCUGCUCUCUUUUACUGCAUUAGGACAACAACGAUUCAUCUGUUACUUGCUGCGGUAGCUGAACCCCUUUAUCCUUUGCAUGACCUGUCAUUGCCACAGUAAGUAGAUGAAAUCCACUAGCAUGAGUAGGAGUUGUUUGAGCCCUGUUGUGCCUACUCAUUCAUGCUUGUUUGUCAUGCCUGCUACUACUUAGAGUCGAGUCAGGUCUGAUUCAUCCGGGAUGAAUCAGAGGUGUGUGAACAUGCCCUACGGUGUGUGCUAAGCGUGUGAACACGAUUUGGUAAAGGUAGCGGUGAGAGGCCAUGUAGGAGUACAUGGUGGGUUGUCUCAUUGCAGCCGUCCUCAGGAACUGAGUUCUGUGUUUGUGAUCCAUGAUUCAGCUACUACCACGCAUUGGGCCCGAAACCAAUGGACCCUCUCGGCUUCUUGAUCACCCUUGUCCUCUGUCCAGGAGUUGCAAGUAGUUUCUGGUGUUUGUAGUAUGCUGGAGGCCGUGGGCAGCGCUGACCGGAGGGGUGGGCUGUGAUGCGGUAGGCACGUGGCCGGGUAUACCGGGCGCCCGUUUGGUGUCACGGAACCCUGUUCACAUCGUUUGGGGCUGUGAGCGAAACUCCGGCCGGAUCUCCUCAUGGAUGGAACCCGAAUAGGCGAUAAACCUGGACUAGAGACUCGAGUGUUUAGGUAGGCCGUGGCCGACACCCACGUUGGGCUUCCGCUUGAAGGUUGCCGAGUACAUGUCGUGUAAACGGCGGUAAGUGGUGAGAGCGUGUGUGAAGAAGUACACCCCUGCAGGGUUAUCAUCAUCUAUUCGAAUAGCCGUGUCCGCGGAAAAAGGCUUCUGGAUUGCUUAUAUCAGUUCAUAGACAAGUGAAAGUGGAUACUCUAAAAUACGCAAGAUAAGCGUGAGUGCUAUGGAUGGCGCUCUCGUAGGGAGACGGGAGCGGAUCCAUAGUGGUGUAUUGAUAUGGGGAAUAUGUGGACUCGUGUGUGCCACCUCAAAAAAGUUACAUUGCAGUCGUAGUUCAGGAUAGCCACCGAGUCAAAGCUGGCUUGCUGCAGUUAAACCCCACCAUCCCCUUUGUUGAUAAUGAUGCAUAUGUAGUUAGUUCUGAUGUAAGUCUUGCUGGGUACAUUUGUACUCACGUUUGCCUAUUUUAUGUUUUUGCAGAGAGACUUCGGUCUCACUAGUAGUUUCGCGUGGACUUCGACGUUUAGCUUGUUACCUCAGCUACGAUCUUGUGCCCCGGCAGGAUCUGGUAGAUAGUCAGGCUUCUCAGGCUUUUUCAGUUAUAGAUGUCUGUACCCAGACAUGAUAGCUUCCGCUUGUACUUUGAUUUGUAUGCUCUGAAUGUUGGGUCAUGAGACCCCUGUUUGUAAUAUCUCGCUCCUCGGAGCCUAUUGAAUAAAUACUUGAGUCGUAGAGUCAUGUUGUGAUGCCAUGUUGUGUUUGCACAUAUCGAGCAUAUUGUGUGUAUGUUAUUAAAAUGCUUGGUAUGUGUGGGAUCUGACUAUCUAGUUGUUUAUCCUUAGUAGCCUCUCUUACCGGGAAAUGUCUCCUAGUGUUUCCACCGAGCCAUGGUAGCUUGCUACUGCUCCGGAACACUUAGGCUGGCCGGCAUGUGUACUUCUUCGUUCCUGUGUCUGUCCCUUCGGGGAAAUGUCACGCGAUGAAUACCGGAGUCCUGUUAGCCCGCUACAGCCCGGUUCACCGGAGUCCUGCUAGCCCAGUGCUACAGCCUGGAUUCACUCGCUGAUGACCGACACGUUCGAUGCUGGGUCAUGGAUGCCUGUCCCUGUAAGUCUGUGCCACUUUGGGUUUACGACUAGCCAUGUCAGCCCGGACUUCUUAUCAUAUGGAUGCUAGCGACACUGUCAUAUACGUGUGCCAAAAGGCGCAAACGGUCCCGGGCAAAGGUAAGGCGACACCCGUGGAAUACCGUGCGUGAGGCCGCAAAGUGAUACGAGGUGUUACAUGCUAGAUCGAUGUGGCAUUGAGUCGGGGUCCUGACAGACCCUCUUUUUAUACAGUAUAAAUUUUGCGUCCCUCAACUUUACCGAUAGUUUAGAAAUGGUCUCUUAAUUUCAAAAUCAGAAAAAUCUAGUCCGUCAACUGUCAAAACUCGAUACUUUUCAUUCCUCUGACUACUCCAGGUGGCUUUGGGCCGACGUGGACUCCGGGUAAAAAGAAAACAAAAAAAUAUGCACAUGCAACGCUCAUGUUUACUUCAUUAGACAAAUCAUCGAACAGUUGUUGUGCAUGCCGCUCACACAGGCCAUCCUGCUCUCAGUGGUCAUGUUAGCGCGCAGCCACCACGUCCCGCCAGAGCUGCAGCUGCACUCCUCUGCGUGCAGCAAGACGUUCCCGUCCUACCAAGCUAGAGCUACAAGGCCAGCCACUGCAAGUCCGUGGCCUGGCACACCACCUGCAAUUGCAGUAAGCGCUGAGCAGCAACAGGAGGAGAGACUGUCAGCAACGUCGGCACCACCGCCAUGUCGUCACCUUCUCACAAGCCAUGACGGCAGAGGCACUCUCCUCAGCGCCAGAGCCGUCAUAGCUCAGCCUGGCGGACCUCAAGGCCGCAUCCGUGCUCGGCGGUGAGCCUGCCGAGCUCGAGGACGGUACACGGGGAAGCAGAACCUGAGCGCUAAAAUGAUCACCAUGGAGGGACUCGAUGUGCACCUGGCAGAGAAGGUCAGACCAAGAGGACGGCGACAGAAUCGAAGUCCCAACGCGCUCAGGUGCCCUACCGGGCUGUGUAGGCGUUGUACACAAAGGCACUCCAUGCUCGUCCAUGAACGCAUCGGCCUCGUCGGCGUCUUCUGCCAUGCAAUCGGUGGGGGCAAGAUUGACGAGCUGCGCGUGCAAGUUCCUACGGUGGCGGUCCGCGUCGGUGGCGGGGCCAACAGGAGGCCGCCGCGAUGGGCAGCAAGCAUGCUCUGCAGGCCCAUCAAGUGGCCCUGGUGGUGGUGCUUGCCUCGUCCUUGACGGGGGAGGGGGCAGGUGUGGUGGCUCGCCGACCCCGUCCUGGUGACGGCACAGGCGGCGCAAGCACUGGCCCGGAGCACGGCACGGACGCAGAAAGCGGAGCACAAUAUGGACUGGAGUAUUGGAUGGGAGAGUGUGUGAGAGAGGGGGAGAUUUGGACCAGCCCAAUACACUGAAUCUGCACGUCCAAUUAAUUAAAUAAGUAAACCCAUACAAGUGUACUGACUGAAGUGUGAUCCUUAUUUGCUAGGGCAGGGAACUGUGCAAAGGCCUCGAUAAAGACAAGGGAAUUCUUCUCUUGAAAAUUGGAUUAGAACCAGUCUCUGUACAUGUCUCUGCUAAUUGCUCCUUACAAACCACUACUAGUGAGGACUGGUUCCAAUUUGUGAAAAUUGGAAUGAACAUCUAGCAACUCUUGUCCUGGCUUUGGGCACUAUCAGCCACUGAUCCUUUCCCUCAUAAAAUUAAGUUUAUCACAACUUUCUUAAGUUAGAACUUGGUUGUCUUGAAUAAACAUGCUAAAUCAAGCGGCCAACACUGAUUGGUUCUAGGUGAGGUAACACAUCUUCUAAAUUACUAAGCUCCCAGGAAAUGAGUCUCCCUCCCUCCCUCCCUCUCUUUGCGUUGAUUUCUCUGUACCUGAUCGGUGGAUGUUGCUGCAUGUUUAUAUGUGAAAUAGCCAGCAUGGAAGCUAGGCAGCUUCAAAAAAAAUUCUAGCAGGUUUGUGUUCAGAAAAGAAAUAGUGUCUCAUGACUAAGCAGUUAUGUGUGCCCACGGCCAUAUUAUUAGAUUGUUUUGGCAUCAUUAGGUAAUUAUGGUGCGGCGAUGAUUUUACCCAGAUUGGUACCUCACUUUUUAAUAGCAAAAACAUGUAUUCUUGGUUUCAGAAUUAAAAGUUCGUUCUAAAAACGAUUGCAUUCCGAGUAAUGGCUUCAAGGAUUUGUUUCAGGAGAUGUCUUAAUCUGUGUAUACCAUCAUUCUGUGUUUGAUCAAUUGCAAACUAGGUGGACUUGCAAAAGAAGGAAAUAAUUAAUUUGGUAGUACAGCGUUUUUCUAGAGUCAAUCGCUAGUUUAAAACAUUUCCCUUUUUUUUGCUUCCAGAUGUGAACUCAGGCUCGACAUCAUCCAGCAACACUACCACUGCCCAGAAUAGGCAAGAUUACAAAAUGAAUGGAUACAAGAACAUGUGCAGAAUAAGAAAUUCGGAAUCCAAGGCAAUUAUAAUUUGGGAAUUUCUAAUUUCCAAACGUUCGUAAUAUGAGAAUAGAUCCGAACGACCCGAUCAUCCAGCGAUCCGCAUCGCACGGUCCCUCGAUUCGCUCCCGCAGUAUGAUUUUUAUUCCCUUCUCUUGAAAACCGUUGUACGUCCGGUUCAGGGUUUUUUUCUUCACUAUUGAUUUUUUUCGCAAAAAAAGAGGAUAAUGGGAAGAAACCUCGUGCCUAGAGGUUUAGCCCUACGCUCACUAGCCAUCUAGGCUAAUACCUUGCUGGUGGUUAGAUACAGGUUAGGCUAUUUUUAUUUUGACAAAUGCUGCUAGUGCAUUCUAUGGAGCAAGCGGGAUUUGCUUUUUGAUUUUUUCUGGAUCUGGCCACCGGUCAUGAACCAUGCAACGUGGUUGUUUUAAAGAUUUUGUGGGCUAUUUUUACUCACUCCUUACCAAAAGAAUUCUAUUUUCAUCAGUUGUCUUUUCUUUGUUGCAAGAAGAUUUUUGUUAUCGAGGCAUAAAAAGGAUGUUCAAACAUAAUCCUGGUUUUUUGUGUGAAUGGAAUGAACUCGCAGCCAUCGAAAGUGCCGGAGAGUUGCUGGACCAGGAAGCGGUAGCUGGCCAUGCUGGCGUCUCGGGCAUCCCACUCGCCGAAAGCUUGUUGCACCACCAAAACCGAGUCGCCGUAGCAGAGGAUGCACCGGAUGCCUAUCUCUUUGGCCAGCCGGAGGUCAUUCACGAGAGCCUCGUACUCCGCGACGUUGUUGGAGGCGGCGAAGUGGAUUUGCAGCGCAUACCGCAGCCGGUCACCCUUGGGGGAGGACAACACAAUGCCGGCUCCCAAGCCGGAUCACAUCUUGGAGCCGUCGAAGUGCAUGCGCCAGUGCGUCGAGUCGGGUGGCGACAGCAGGUACUGGGUCUCCGCCCAGUCGACGAGGAAGUCGGCCAGCGCCAGGGACUUGAUGGUGGUGCGUGGCUCGUAGAGGAUGGUGUGGCUGGCCAGCUCGAUGGCCCACUUGGCCACCCGGCCGGUGGCAUCCCGGCAGCCCAUGAUUUCGCCGAUGGGGGCCAUGCUGACCACGGUAAUGGUGUGCUCUUGGAAGUACCGCUUCAGCUUCUUGGCGGUGAGGUACACGCAGUAGCACAUCUUCUGGUAGUGGGGGUAGUUCUGCUUGGAGGCGGAGAGCACCUCGCUCAGGUAGUAUACCGGAUGCUGGAUCUGCUGGAUCUUGCCUUCCUCCGGACGCUCAACCACCAGCACCGUACUGACCGCGCGCGAGGUGGCGGCGACGUAUAGCAACGACGACUCUCUGUCAACCGGCGCGGCCAGGAUGGGUGCAGUGGAGAGCAUGUGCUUGAGUUCCCAGAAAGCUUCGCCCGCCUGGUCGUUCCACUCAAACGACGACGUCUUCUCCAUCAGCUGAUAUAGGGGCAAAGCCCUCUCGCCCAGCCGGCUGAGAAACCGGUUGAGAGAGGCCAAGCAGCCAGUGAACUUCUGGACAUCGGGCAGCCGGGUCGGCUUGCGCAUGCGCUCGAUGGCCUUGAUCUUCUCUGGGUUUGCCUCAAUACCGCGCUCCGAGACGAGGAAGCCGAGUAGCUGGCCGGCUGGCACGCCGAACACACACUUCUCCUGGUUGAGCUUGAUCUGGUACCGACGCAGAUUGGCGAAGUUUCCUUGAGGUUGUCUAGGAGCGUGAGGUGCUGCUUGGUCUUCACCACGAUGUCGUCGAAGUAGACGUGAAUGUUGCGGCCGAGUUGCUGCAGCAAGCACUUCUGCAUGCAGCGCUGGAAGGUAGCAUCUACGUUCUUCAAGCCGAACGACAUGGUGAUGUAGUAGUACGCCCAAAGGGCGUGAUGAAGGACGUCUUCAGGGCGUCGACCGGGUCCAGCUUGAUCUGGUGGUAGCCGGAGUAAGCGUCCAGGAAGGAUAAGAGCUCGCAGUCGGUCGUGGAGUCGAUCACUUGAUCUAUCCGCGGGAGGGCAAAAGGAUCCUUGGGGCAGGUUUUGUUGAGGCUGGUGUAGUCGAUACACAUGCGCCAGGUAUCGUUCUUCUUCAGGACGAGGACUGGAUUAGCCAGCCACUUGGGGUGAAACACUUCCAUGAUGAAGCCGGCUGCGAGCAGCCAGGCAAUCUCUUCACCGAUGGUUCCCCACUUCUUCUCGAAAAAGCAGCGUAGCAGUUGGCUAACAGGUUUGGCGUCCUUGCGGACGUGUAGUUUGUGCUCGGCGUACUCCCUCGGAACUCCCGGCAUGUCCUUUGAGGACCAUGCAAAGAUGUCCCAAUUCUCACGGAGGAAGUCGACGAGCUCGCCUUCCUAUUUGCUGCUGAGGCGGGUGCCCACAACAACGUACUUGCUGCAGCUGGGGUCGGACGGGUUGAUCGGGACCUUCUUGGUGUCUUUGGACGGCUGGAAUGAGGCCUCGCCAGCCGACUCCUUGGCCGGAGCCGGCACAGCCGGCUGCUCGCCGGCCAGCGCAACGAUCCAGUCGAGCUAGCACCGCUCCUCGGCUAUGACCAGCGACUCGGCCAGCUUGGCACCGGCACGGGCACACUCCAAGGAUUUUUUGUAGUCGCCUACAACAGUGAUGAGGCCCUUGGGACCCAGCAUCUUCAUCUUCAUGUAGGCGUAGUGGGGAACCGCCAUGAACUUUGCCAGCACGGGCCGGCCCAGCAGCGUGUGGUAAGGGCUGGACAGAUCCACCACCUCGAACCAGAUGGGCUCGUGCCGGAAGUGGUCGCUGGUGCCGAACAGGAUGUCGAGCCGGAUCCGGCCUAUCGGGGAGUAGGAGAGACCCGACACGAUAAUGUGAAACACCGUCCGGGUCGGCUCCAGCUGUCUUGCCUCGAUGCCGAGCUUGGUCAUGGUGUCCUGAUAGAGGAUGUUGAUGCUGUUGCCGCCAUUGAUGAGGACUCGCGAGAACUUGCAGGUGCGCUUUGCAGCGACUGGUGGGGUCAACGACGAGGGCGUAUCCACCCAACGUAGGCGUGACGACCGGGUGGUCCUCCCGGGUCCAGCUGACCGGGAGCUCCGACCAGUGCAUGUACUCAGGCACGGCCAAGAUGACGGUGUUCACCUCCUGCCGGAGCUGGCGCUCGCUAUGCUUGUCACCGCCCAUGCUGGUGAAGACGAUGUAGCAAUCGUUCGGGUUGGGGAAGGCUUCAUCGUGCAUGGCGCCGGUUGCCGUGGGAGGAGGCGGCGGCGGAGGCGACUGCCCCGCACCCGGUGCCAGAGGAGGAGGCGGAGGGAUGUCGACCCUCAUGAUGCGCUUGGUGAUGGCGCACUGCCGGAGCGUGUGCAUAGACGGCCUCGCGCCGCUGUGGUGCUUGCAGGGGGCAUCGAGCAUCUCCUCAAAGCUCAUGGCGGGUUGCCAGGCGGUCUUGCCGGUUCGCUGACAUAGGUUGCCGGCCGGCUCGGCCGCGGGCGCUUGAUCGGCGGUAGCGAUGAGGCGGUUGUCGUAGCGGGGAGCCGGCUGCUCAGCCUUACGCUUGUUGUUCUGCUGGCGGCUGCUCUCGCCAGUCGACUUGGGAGGUGGCGCCGGCAACGCCUUGCAGGCGUCGUCCAACACCACUUGGAUCUUCAUGGCGGAGUCGGCGUUGGUGUACUUGUCCGCCGGCCAUGGUGGUCGGCUCAGAGCAUAGAAGCUUGUGCUUGAGCAGGAUGUUGUCUCGGCAACGUUUCACAAAGUACUGAGUGGCCUGAACCUCAUGGACCCCCUCGCAGCUGUUCCGGAGCUCGGUCCAACGCGCGAGGUACUGGCGGCCGAUCUCCUCCGGCCCCUAGACGCACAUGGCGAGCUGGCCGGGACCGUCGGGCCGCUUGUAGGCGCCGGUGUAGUUGCGCACGGAAGCCUGCUCGAAGUCGAGCCACGAGUUGACGCUGCCAGCCGGCGGGCUGUUCAGCCAUGUCUGGGCCGAACCCUGCAGCAUGAGCGGGGCGUAGCGCAUGGCCAGACGCCGGUUGCAGCCUGCGAUGCCGAUGGCGGUGUUGUAGUCGAUGAGCCAGUCCUCCGGCUUGACGGUCCCGUUGUACUUGGGGGUGUCUCAGGGGAGCGUGAACCCCUUGGUGAAGGGCUCAUCGCGGAUGCGCGGGCCGAAGCAAGCUGGACCAACUGCGUUGUCCUCCUCCAGCUCGAGGGAGAGCGCGAGCUGCUCGAUGCGGUGGCGGGCGUCGUUGUUGUCGAUGUCACGCAAACCCAGCCGGCUCGCGUCUGGGCCGCGAGGAGCCGGAUCGGCUGAAGCCGACCGGCCACGUCAGCCAGACGGCGGGGGAGGAUCUUGUCGGCACCGAUCGUCUUGAGCCGGCUCGUUGCCCAAGUCCCUGCCGGCCGUCAGGGCGCGGUUGCACCGAGUCCAGCCGCUCCAGGUCUUCCCGGACUGGGCUUCGCUGGGGCGCGGAGAAGACGCCUGUUGGGUGUCCCGGGGCUCGAGGUCUUUCGUCUGGUGCGAGACAGACGCCGCGGGAUCGUCAAGGCGCUUCUGUUGCGUGUUCGCAGCGGCGAGAAGCUCGCACAUGAGCUGCAGCCCUACUACAGCUCUUCGCCCUGCACAAGCUCCAGGCCUUCUACGGCCGCCUCCGCGGCGCACAUGUUCUUGACGGGGGUGUCGUAGACGGGCAGGACCACACCUAGGGCGCCGAUGGCGCCACCACGGGCCCGCACCUCGGCGACCUGGCUAGGCUCGGUCACGGUCGGCGUGAAGCCGUUCGCGGCAUCACGCUCCCACUGGGCGGACUCCAGCCAACGCUGCGUAGCAGCAAGCGCCGUGGCCUCGUCCAGCAGGCGCACGCGCUCCUCGUCGAGCCGGGCCCUAGCCUGGGUGGCGUCGACGCCAGUGGUGAUGGGGAUGCUGAGGUUCUGCAGUGUUGCGCGCAGCGGGUCGGCCGUGCUGGCGCGAGCGCUUGCGGCCUUGGUCGCAACGGCCUUCUUCGCGGCGCUAGACGAAGAGGAGUUGGAGCCGGUGACGAGCACCUCCACGCGGGUGCAGAGAUCCGCCACGUCCCUGGAAAUGUCACAGCCAACGAGGACGGGCGAGUCGGUGACGUCAAGCACCUCGCCGGGGUACUCGUCGGGCACGAGCAUGACAGAGACGUGGAAUGCGCCGAAGGGGACGACGGAGCUCGCGGCGAAGCCGGCAGCGUCCGCGCCAGAUGCGGGGACGACGCCGUGCACGAUGCGCUCGCCGGAGCAUGUGUAAGGGCCUCGUCUGGAAUGUGACUCCGGCCGGCACCGCAAGCUGCCCCACGGUGGGCGCCAACUGUCGUUGUGAUCUCACGGUAGAUGCCAUGGGAGGCUAAAAGAGGGGAAAGACACAAGGGCAUCGGUGGGUUCCAAAGGCGAGGUUGGCACGCGCAAGUGUGGGACAAGAGACGUACCCAGGUUCGGGGCUCUCCAAAGAGAUAACACCCCUAGUCCUGCCGAGUGGUUUAUAUGAGGUGGAUACAAGCUUGCUCCUUGAGGUGUUCUGGGGAGGAAGGAAGACAGGCCAAUGCAUGCGCUGCUCCUCCUCUAUGUGAGUGUGUGUGUGUGGGUAUGAGUUCUACCGAUGAUCGCCCCGUGCAUGGAGGACUCCUGGGGGGUCUUAUAAGCCGACCCCCAGGGGUUACAAUGAGAAUAUUACAUGGGCGCGAGGCCCUGGUGCCAGCGUCUAGGAGCCGGCAAUGGGGUCUGCCGGGUCUGUCGGGUGCGGGCCUUACCGGGGCCGCCAGGCGCGGGUACGACCGGCUAUUGGGUACUGUGGCACGCCUCACCGGGCGUCGUGGGAUGGUUAGCACCGCCCUGCUAUAGGGCCUCGCCUCCGGGGCACCGCCCGCCUCGGGCGGGGCGGGGGGAGCGCCAUUGCCGUGCCCGCCGUAAAGGAGGGCGCACUGUAGCCACACCUACUUGUCGCUGUGGGUUGACUUCUCGUGGACGGCCGGCAUGCGCCAGCCGGCUGGCCGGGUCGCGGCACCUGGUCGGGUCACGCUGGGGAGCCGGGCAGGGGCGAGCCGGAUUGAGGGGCUUAGCCAGCCCCGAUGUUUUCGAAAGGGAUCCAGGUCCCCCCCCCCUCGACAUAUACACACAAUAAAGUUGAUGACUCACUACAGACCCCAAGAUAACUUUUGACCCCCGGGAUAAAAGUUUGUUGAAAAACAUACCCUGAUAACUUGUGUGCAAAUAACAUGGUAAUAUACAUACAACAGAGCUGAUAACUCACUUAAUCUAGACGUGGUAACUUUUUGACCAAGGAAAAAUGUUGUUAAAAGAUACCUCCCAAUAACUCAUGUGUAAACAACACGAUAAUACACGCACAUGAGAGCUGAUAACUUAUAUAAAAAUAUAGCAGUAAGUUUUUGACCGAGGGAAUGAAAAUUGUUGAAAAACAUACCCCGAUAACUUUUGUGCAACAUGGUAAUAUACACAACAAAGCUGAUAACUCACUGCAAACAUCAUAAUCACUUUUUGACCCUAGGAUAGAAGUUUGUUGAAAACAUACCCCACAUACCCCGAAAUUUUUUGUGUAAAUGACACGGUAAAUUAUGUAUGACAGACGUGAUAACUUACAUAGCCCAGAUGUGGUAACUUUUGGUCCGAAAAUAAGUCAUCGAAACAUAUCAACAUGGGAGCUAGUUUCGAAGAUCUCGUCGAGACGAUUUUUUUUGUGAAGACGGCUUUUCAAUCGGAGCGAUGGUUUGAGCUACAAAACAUUUUGAAGUUUGAAAAAAAGAAAAAAUCUAGGAUGACAUCAGUUUUUCAUCCUUUAAUGCAUAUAUGCAUAUAAUUAGAGGGAAUGCACGUGAAAGGAAAAUUAGUCAUUCUAAUGCAUGCAUGUAUAUAAUUAGAGUGAAGUAAAGAUCGUUCUUGCCUAUUGCUAAAAUCCGAACAUUUGGUAGUUAUAUAAGUCCUUAUAAUUUUUAGUGUUACAUGUGGCGCUGCCAUGGCCCAUGGGUACGUAUUAACAUAUCUGAGAUGAAGAGCAGAGGAGUUGGCUGUGGAUUUUCUACUACAAGCUUAUUUUAUUGCACUUUGAGCAGGUAGAUGUUUUUUUGUUGCGCUUUGAUCAGGUAGAUGCACCUUCUUUCUUAAGAAGGUCAUUCUAGGUGAGACGGCAUGCGAGGUAGGUAGCUCUGAUCAGGUAGAUGCACCUUCUUUCUUAAGGUCAUUCUAGGUGAGAUGGCGUGCGAGGUAGGUAGCUCUGGUGACGCCGCCGGCGCAGCCAUCCCUCCGCCCCUCUCGCCUCAGACAUCGCUGGUGGGCUCUGCCGCCCACGUGACCCCUCCCAGCAACCCGCCCUCCCGUGCCUCGCUGAAGCCGGACGGCCGGCUCCCUGGCGCGUGGGUGAUCUGGGCUGACUUGGCCGAGGAAGAUGACCGAAUCGCUGGUCGGCCCGUCGAACACCGUGGCCUUGUCCCCCCUUCCUACCCAGCUCGUGUGACGGUGACUGGCGCCGCCGGUGGCCCUACUCCCAGGGGUGGGAGUUCGGCUGCCCGGGAGCUGUCCCGGCCAUUUUUGAGCCCGACAAGCUUGGCUCAUCCGCCACUGUGGCAAGGUCACACCUUGCGGACCGGGGUUCGGCGCCGCCGCCUUGCGGAUGGGUGGGGAGUUGUGGGCCGCUCCGACCACGGCCGCGCUGCCACCUCCUGGCUCCCCCCCGUGCCGACUCCCACGGCAACCUCCUCCCGGCCGGUGUCCCGGUUGCCGGGCCUGCAACUGAUCACCCGCCGAUCCCUGUUUCGCGCACUCAUCGCCUCCUUCGAAUCCUCCACGCUUCGAUUUGCGGUGGAUCCCCUUCGUAGACUCGCCUGGUCACCUUCCUCUGGACCGGCGGCGGCGGUGGCGGUGGGUGGAUUCGAAUCCCCUGCCACCUGUCCUACUCCUCGCUCCCUAGGCCGUACGCUAGUGGGCUGCCAUCGGACGGGCCUCCACCCCUUGGUGGGCCCAGGUGCCCAGGCCGCCCCUCUGGGCCGCCACGCCUCACAGGGUCGGGUCACCUCGGGCCGGAUUUGCUCCCGCAGCCGCUCCAGGUGGAUUACGCCUUCUGCCCCAGCCCAGGGUGGGAUAAAUCUGGCCUCCUCAAGGGUUUCCGGUUCCUCCUUCUCCGCCACCUAGUGUCUCAACUCCCUCUACCUCGCCUCUCGAACCCUCGUCUACUCCUUCUCACCCUAGCAUCGCCGCCGCCCGCAUCCCGCAGCCGACCCUGUCUGUGGCCCCGGCCAUGCCGCGGAAGUAGGGGGACGCGGGUGGCCGCCCCAAGCGCAGCCUUGACGAGCGGCGCGACCCGCCCCUCUCCAGAUGCUCUACAGCGGGAGGACGACCUCCGCAGGCAGCUGCCUAGCCGGGACUCCAGGCGCGCUCUCCGGCGUGGCAGGACCGCCACUUGCCGGGCCGGCGCUCCCUGGACUGUUGUGACCGGAUUGAGGGUCUGGGCUUCUUCCACAUCGAGGUACCCGACAUCCCCCCCCCAUCACCAUCGCUCCAGGCGAUUGUCACUGUCUCGCGUCGCUAGAGAUGAUUGAGGCCGUGCUCAACCACCUGUGCCGGUGCGUGUGGGAUUGACAAGUGACGCCGACCUCCGGCAACGCGUUCCCCGUGAUCUUCCCCGACAUUAUCAGCAUGGGCUACUGCACCUGCAGUGGGGUCAUCACCUUGGCCCUCAAUAAGCUGGUGGUCGACAUCUCCGAGCCGAAGCGGGACCCCAAGGCGGAGGCAGUCCUGGACACGGCCUGGAUCCUCAUCGCGGGGCUCCCCGACAUUGCGAGGUCUGAGCGGGUAAUCCACAACAUGUCCAAGAUCCUCGGCAAGGUAGUCAUGGUGGAUGAGCUCUCGCUUCACAAGGAGGAGGUCCAGGUCAAGGUCAAAUCCUUGGACUCCUCCAAGCUCCAGGCCACCGUACGCAUCUUCUUCAACGACCAAGGUUAUGACCUCAAGAUCUCCCCUGAGCCGCCCAACAACAUUGGCCGACCCCGCUACUCUGACGACCACCACUUUGGGGGCGGCCCUAGCGGAGAUGAUGGAUCUCAUCACUGACGCCCCCGCCAUUCGCGCCACGACAACCCGGAUGACGAUGAGCUCUCGGAGCGGAGCUACUCCCCCUCCUGCGAGCCGUCCAACCCUUCUCUGGGUCAUGGGGGUUCUGGGACCGGGCGGCCCGCGAGACCUGCCACCCUGUCGACUGCCCCCCUCACCUCCUCUCCUGGUGGGACCUCCCCGAGAUCCUCGGCGGGGGCAAGCGACAUCUCCAAUGUGGGUCUCCUCGUCGUCCCGACCUCCUCUCCAUGUACGCCUCUGACCACCGACCUCGCGCCAGUUGCUCCACCCGCCUCCCCGACGUCGGCGCAUGUGGUGGAUGCCGACGUGGUGACCACCCCGUCGCAUCCCACCCUCACCCUCCGAGGACGGCGGCCUACACCAAACAGGCUCGGUCUGCGUCGACUCCGGUGUAUGCCUCCUGCCGCAGCGCCUGUAUCGACGCCGCCCGCCCGACCGACUUCCCGGCUCCGUCCAUCCUUGAGCGGGCUGAGCUCCGGGCGGCGGCCUGGAACCUCGAGUCAAGUACGGCUGAUAUGCCUGCUAGUUCUUCCAGUUGCUCCUUUUUCGCACUUGAAUCAGUUCCUCUCGGCCACCUUGCUAAGGUGGCCGCCGACUCGGCAAUCGUUUUCAAGGGGAAUUAGGUCCCCCUUUAGAGCAGAUUGAGGCGAUCCAUGCCCGCGAGAUCCUUGAUGGGAANNNNNNNNNNNNNNNNNNNNNNNNNNNNNNNNNNNNNNNNNNNNNNNNNNNNNNNNNNNNNNNNNNNNNNNNNNNNNNNNNNNNNNNNNNNNNNNNNNNNNNNNNNNNNNNNNNNNNNNNNNNNNNNNNNNNNNNNNNNNNNNNNNNNNNNNNNNNNNNNNNNNNNNNNNNNNNNNNNNNNNNNNNNNNNNNNNNNNNNNNNNNNNNNNNNNNNNNNNNNNNNNNNNNNNNNNNNNNNNNNNNNNNNNNNNNNNNNNNNNNNNNNNNNNNNNNNNNNNNGGGCGCACGCGCUCCCGCACCGCAUCCCUCAGGGCCCAAGGUGCCUCCCUCGUCUUGGGGUCAAGCAACCCCCCAAUGGCGCCGAUGCGGACUCUCUUUUGGAACAUCCGCGGCUUCGGCCAAGAUGGCCGGCGUCGCCAACUAACCGAGUACAUGCGAGACGAACGGAUCGACAUUGUAGCCAUCCAGGAAACCAUGCGGACGGAUUUCUCUCUGCCCGAGCUCGACUGCCUUAGCCCCCACCUAUUUGUCUGGCAUUGGCUCCCUUCUAGUGGGAGCACCGGCCAUUCGGGUGGCAUCCUUUUAGGUGUGAAGGAUGCCACCUUUGAGGUGAGAAGCAUGGAUAGGGGAGAGUUCUUUGUCAGUAUGGAGGUCUCUGAGCGGGCGCUCAACUUUAAAUGGGAGAUUGUGAUUGUCUACGGGCCUGCGGACCACCGACGCUCGCCGGCCUUCCUCGACGAGCUUCGAAGGAAGGUCUCGGCUGCCCAACAUCCGGUGGUGGUCGGUGGAGAUUUUAAUCUAAUUCGAUCUCCCGCAGACAAGAACUACGACCUAGUCAACCUCCACCGCAUGUAGAUGUUCAAUGACUGCAUCGCGAAUCUCGGCCUCAAAGAGUUAGAUAGGAUUGGUGCCAAAUUUAACUGGACCAAUCGCCAGGCGGACCCGACCCGGUCUGUCCUGGACCGCGUUCUUGUGUCUCAGGAGUGAGAGCUCCGGUGCCCCCUCGCCUCACUCCGGGCGAUCACCCGCAUUGGCUCCGACCACGUCCCCCUUCUCCUCUCCUCUGCGGAUGACCUACCUCCCAUUCCUCCCUGUUUCCGCUUUGAACUAUUCUGGCUCAAUCAGCGAUUUGUGGAGGCGGUCAGUACACGUUGGGCUGCGGCCCAAGCGUCGCCCCACCGCUCUCUCUCCGCAGUUGACUCCUGGCAAUUCUGCACGAAGCUCGCUCGCCAGUUUAUGAAGGGGCGUGGCGCUAACCUACGUCGGGACCUUCAAGAGCGCAAAAGGCUCUUUUGGCGUCUAUCCAGGCCCUUGACGCCCAUGCGGAUACGUCCGGGAUCUCCCCUGACGAAUGGAUGCUCCCGUAUGAGCUUGAGGACCAGCUCUCGGUCCUCUAUACCGAUGAGGAGGCUUAGUGGCGCCAGCGCGGCACCCAGCAGUGGGUGCUACGAAGUGAUGCAAGCACCGCCUAUUUUCAGGCGAUUGCCAAUGGGAGGAGACGCCGCAACACCAUCCCUUUCCUCUGGGACAGCGACACCCUACUUCAGCGGCCACCGGAUAUCCACAGUCACAUGGACGGCUUCUAUAAAGCCCACUUCUCCCCCUCCCUUUGGGGUGGGGCAUCACUGGCACCCGACACUCGGUCGGGUCGCCUACGUGUCACGGCCAAGGAAAAUGUUGCCUUCAUGGCCCCGUUCUCCGAGGAGGAAGUCCUCUUGGCUACCAAGGGCAUGAACCCGUCUUCGGCUCCGGGCCCGGAUGGCCUCCCGGUGAAGUUCUAACAAUCCUUCUGGCAUGCCAUCAAUGCGGAGGUCAUAGCCCUGUUUGACGAGUUAUAUGUAGGGUCCAUGGACCUUGGCCGCUUGAACUACGAGAUCAUUACGCUCAUCCCCAAAGUUCCUGGCGCUACGGACAUCCGCCAGUUCUGCCCAAUCACGGUUAUAAACAUGAUUUUUAGAUUUUGGCGAAGGGGUACGCUAAUAGGGUGACCCACCUCGCGGACACUAUAAUCCACCCCAACCAAUCGGCCUUCAUUCAAGGCCGGCUCAUUCUCGAUGGGGUGUUGAUCUUCCACGAGAUGUUGCACGAAGUCCGCUCCAAGCACCAGCGGGAGGUCUUCCUGAAGUUAGACUUCCACAAAGCCUACGACACUGUCCUCUGGCCCUUCCUCCGGGAAGUUCUGCUAUGCAAGGGCUUCGACAACCGCUAGGUCACCAGAGUCAUGCAACUGGUCUCAUGCGGCCGGACUGCGGUGAAGAUCAACGGCGAGAUUGGACCCUACUUCCCACAUUGUGUGGGGUCCGUCAGGGGGGCCCCUUCUCGUCUUUUUUGUUCUAACAUGGUGGUUGAUGCCCUUGCUGCCAUCCUCGACAAGGCCAAAGUGGUAGUAGGCCAUAUUCGCGGCGUGGUGCCCCAUCUGGUAGGAGGGGGAGGGGUCUCCCUCCUCCAGUAUGCUAAGGACACCAUCAUAAUGAUUGAGGGCUCCGCAUCUGAUAUUGCCAACCUAAAAUUCCUCCUCCUAUGCUUCCAGCAGAUGUCUGGCCUCACGAUCAACUUCGAUAAGAGCGAAGUGAUGAUUCUUGGAUACUCCCCUACGGAGUGCCAAGACAUGGCAGAUCGGCUGAAUUGCCGGCUAGACUCUAGACUGACUGUAGCAGACCUUCAUCCUGCGGUGUCCAGGAUGCAGCGCCGCGUAGAACCAUGGAGGGGCAGAUGGUUAUCUAAGGCGGCUCGGACGAUCCUCAUCAACUCCUCGCUGUCAAGCCUCAUCAUGUUCCUUAUGAGCUUCUAUAGCCUCCAUGAGACCCUGCACCAGGAGAUCACCAAGUACCAGGCCCGGUUCUUCUAGGCUAGGGAGGGGGAUAAACAAAAAUAACACAUGGUCAGCUGGACGAACAUCUGUAAACCGCGGGACCAGGGUGGCCUCGGGAUCAUGUCCUCUAGGCGCAUGAAUAUCGCCUUACUGACGCGCUGGCUCUAGAGGAUCGCCAAUGGUGAGGGUGGUCUCUGGUUGGACAUCGUCAGGAACAUAUACCUUCAAGACCAGCCUCUUGCCUUCUGCCAGCGUUCUAGAGGCUCCCAGUUCUGGCAGGCUGUCAUCCAGCUCAUACCGAUCCUCCGGAUUGGUACAUCCAUCUCGGUUCGAUCUGGCUCCUCGACGUUGUUCUGGUUCGACAGGUGGGUGGGGGACCGCCCCCUUGCCGCCCGUUUCCCGAAACUAUUUUCCAUCGCGGUUGACCCUCGGGUCUCCGUCGAGGUGGCCCUUAUAGACUUAGGGCGCCUCACGUUCCGUUGGCCCUUCGCCCCCCUGAGGUGGCUGCCUGGGACGACCUCCUACAAUGCAUUGCCCUGCAACCUAGCCCAUAGACGUUGACCACAUGCACGACUCCGUCUCCUGGCGCCUGGAGACGUCUGGCCACUUCUCGACCAAGUCCCUAUACCAGGCCAUUGCAACCUCCACUGCCCUCCCUUUGAAAAACAGAAUAUUCUUGUGGCAAUGGAUUCGUGGGCGGCUCCCCUCUAGCGUGGAGGUUCUGAAGCGCAACAGCCCAGGGGAUGGGUCCUACCCGCUCUGCGGCAUGGGGGAGGAUGCUAACCAUAUCUUCUACUCCCGCGUUGCCGCUCAGUUCCUUUGGACCUGCUUCCACGACGUGGUUGGGGGUCGUUGGUGUAACACCAACUUCUCGGACUUGUUGGCGGAAAUCCAAGCAUCUGCAUCCCGCCACCACCACAUUAGGUGGGUUGUGCAUCGGGAUCCUUGCUUGGACGCUCUGGACUAUCCGUAAUAAGCUUGUCAUCCAGCAUGUUCCUCUUCGAAAAUGAGUGGUUACUUGUAGCUUUGGCGGCCGCUUAGCCGCCCCUAGGAUCGAAACGUCAUCGAGACCCUCCUCGCCGGCCUUCGAGCGAUGGCCUUCGGCGUGGCCCCUCCGCUUCCGCCACCAUCCCCGGAGCCAAACUAGGCACGCGGCUUCCUCAUGUCGCAAGACCUUCGGACCGUCCCUUGGGCUCCUGCUGGAUUGUUCUUGUUUUAUCUUUUAAGGACUGUUGAGUUGUGCCCUCAGUUGUACCCUUGCUACCUUUUGUGUGUGGGUGUUCGUCUUCGACUUCUUUGAGUGUGUGGUGUGAACUUGUGUUUGGAUGCUUGUGGGCUCGGGCGGUUUGCUUUAUAUAUAAAGCGGAGCGAAAGCCUUUUUCGGUAGAAGGUCAUUCUAUUUGACCUUCAUUAGUUCAAAUGUACUUUUCUAACUAGAUAGACGCUCUUCAUUGUGAACAAAUUAGAUGGAUCACAAAGGAAAAUUUAGGAACAUGCUUUUACAGUUUAGCUUUUGUUCCUUUUGAUCCAAAGGGCAGCCAUAGUCUCAAAAGAAAAAAAGAAAAAGAAAGGAACUAUUUGUUGCCAUUGCAUCCAUUUCAUAUGAGAUGUUCUAUUUUUUCUGUCUAAUCCCCCUAUAGUUAAUGAAACAGGAAUCCCCUUUUCCUUCUUCACAGGGAUCUUCUAACCAAAAGGACAGUAUUUUUUAUAUAAGAGGGUUGUGUGCAUGUUCAAUAUCAAAAUUUCCUUGCACAGUUCAGCUCAACACUGGUUCUGGACGGCGCAACAACGCGGCCGUUUUUUCUAGUUACUACUAAUAGUGAACUACUUGUCCAGGUUGCACUAGACGACCAAAUUGGCACUGAUGUUUUACCAAUACUGUAGCAGGUGGUACUGUAUAAUACAAGUUGGCCCAAGCCAGGACUCAACAUAGUUAUGAGACAACUUAAAGCAAGGACUUGGACAUGGAAAUGAAGUGCUAAACAUGUGUAAGGGUCAACGAAGUUCCAAAGAAUAUUUCUCUUGAAAUAGUACCUGCACCUUUAGCCAGAAGGGAAUCCCUUAUUGCUCCUGAAUGCAGAGAAAGCUCAACCAGAUUUACUGAAACAUGAAAUUUCUUUGAUGUCCAUGUCUUUGUAUCUUGUUGGACAGAUCCUGAAUACUUUCAGAAGAAGUAGAAGAUGCAGAAACAUGAGAUUCCAAUGUUGAAGUUCCAUCUCGAGGACCAUCCAGCGCAGGCACAAUAUGUGGUGCCCCAGCAAAGUUCAAUCAGAUAUAACUUCAUAUUUUCGAUUGGAAGAAAUGCUGCUUUCAGAACAUCCACCUGAGACACAGUAGAUGAAAAAUGCAGCAGAGGCGGCUCCUAUCUCGCCGGGCAACACAACACAACCGCCAGUUCGACACCUAGCUAGUACUGUAGCGAUUGUAGCAACCUCGAGAGAUGAACCUGGAAUGGUCAGGUCGUGGAGAGGGUGCAGGCAGCUCCGGUGGUGUUGGUGAGGGGCGUGGAGCGAUGGAAGGAGGCGGAUACGGAGGGAAGCUGGGGGAGGUAGUGGGUAGCGGCGACCGGCAGGAGGAAAAGGCGGCGGGCCUGGAGCCCCCCGUCACGGCGGCGCCCUUGUUGGCGGUCUGCUCCUCUCAUGGUGAGAGGGGCCGGCGCUAGCUAAUGCGCCAGUCCCCCGCCCACAGCGCCUGGCCAGUCGCCGGCGGAGAGGGCGGCGGAGCGGGGUAGGGUUGGUGGGCGGAGCUAGCUCUGGAAUGGAUCCGGGGAGCGGAGGAGGAACGGCUGGUCGGUCUGUGGUUGGGCUCG
rnacentral:lncRNA from 1 species